GACAGAGGCCCCGAGCGUUAGGCGGAAUCACUGGGCUUAAAGCGUGUGUAGGCGGGCCCGUAAGUGUCUUGUGAAAUCCCACGGCUCAACCGUGGAACUGCUGGGCAUACUGCGGGGUCUUUGGGCCCAACUAGGGGGCAGCCGGAACAAGCGGUGGAGCGGUGAAAAUGCGUAGAUAUCGCUUGGAACGCCGAAGGUGAAAACAGGCUGCUGGGGUCGCGCCGACGCUGAGACACGAAAGCCAGGGGAGCAAACGGG
rnacentral:rRNA from 1 species